AGAGUUUGAUCAUGGCUCAGGAUGAACGCUGGCGGCAUGCCUAAGACAUGCAAGUCGAACGAGGUGGCCCUUUGAAGAUGGAGUGCUUGCACAAAAUCGGAUUUGGAUUUCCACCUAGUGGCAGACGGGUGAGUAACACGUGGGUGACCUACCUUUAAGUUGGGGAUAACAGUUGGAAACGAUUGCUAAUACCGAAUAAGAUAUAUUAGUCAAUUUUAUAUUGAAAGGAGCUUUCAAGCUUCGCUUAGAGAUGGGCCUGCGGCGUAUUAACUUGUUGGUGGGGUAAUGGCCUACCAAGGUGACGAUGCGUAGCCGGACUGAGAGGUUGAUCGGCCACGCUGGGACUGAGACACGGCCCAGACUCCUACGGGAGACAGCAGUUAGGAAUAUUCGUCAAUGGGGGAAACCCUGAACGAGCAAUGCCGCGUGAGUGAUGAAGGUCUUUGGAUUGUAAAACUCUGUUGUAUGGGAAAAACGGCUAGGUUGGGAAAUGAACUUAGUGUGAUGGUACCAUACCAGAAAGCCCCGGCUAACUACGUGCCAGCAGCCGCGGUAAUACGUAGGGGGCGAGCGUUAUCCGGAUUUAUUGGGCGUAAAGCGUGCGUAGGCGGUUUAUUAAGUUUAAGAUAAAAGCCCGGGGCUUAACUCCGGUUCGUCUUAAAAACUGGUAGACUUGAGUGUGGUAGAGGUAAAUGGAAUUUCUAGUGUAGCGGUGAAAUGCGUAGAUAUUAGAAGGAACACCAGUGGCGAAGGCGGUUUACUGGGCCACAACUGACGCUGAGGCACGAAAGCGUGGGUAG
rnacentral:rRNA from 1 species